rnacentral:rRNA from 1 species
GACGAACGCUGGCGGCGUGCCUAAUACAUGCAAGUCGAGCGAGACUCUUCGGAGUCUAGCGGCGGACGGGUGAGUAACACGUGGGCAACCUGCCUGUAAGACUGGGAUAACACCGGGAAACCGGUGCUAAUACCGGAUAAUCCUUUUUCUCUCAUGAGGAAAAGCUGAAAGUCGGUUUCGGCUGACACUUACAGAUGGGCCCGCGGCGCAUUAGCUAGUUGGUGAGGUAACGGCUCACCAAGGCGACGAUGCGUAGCCGACCUGAGAGGGUGAUCGGCCACACUGGGACUGAGACACGGCCCAGACUCCUACGGGAGGCAGCAGUAGGGAAUCUUCCACAAUGGACGAAAGUCUGAUGGAGCAACGCCGUGUGAGCGAUGAAGGCCUUCGGGUCGUAAAGCUCUGUUGUUAGGGAAGAACAAGUACCGGAGUAACUGCCGGUACCUUGACGGUACCUAACCAGAAAGCCACGGCUAACUACGUGCCAGCAGCCGCAGUAAAAC